GAGUAACACGUGGGCAAUCUGCCCUUCACUCUGGGACAAGCCUUGGAAACGAGGUCUAAUACCGGAUAACCCUCCCCUCCUCCUGGAUGGGGGUUAAAAGCUCCGGCGGUGAAGGAUGAGCCCCCGGCCUAUCAGCUUGUUGGUGAGGUAAUGGCUCACCAAGGCGACGACGGGUAGCCGGCCUGAGAGGGCGACCGGCCACUCUGGGACUGACACACGGCCCACACUCCUACGGGAGGCAGCAGGGGGAAAUAUUGCACAAUGGGAAAAAGCCUGAUGCAGCCACCCCGCGUGAGGGAUGACGGCCUUCGGGUUGUAAACCUCUUUCAGCAGGAAAGAAGCGAAAGUGACGGUACCUGCAAAAGAAGCGCCGGCUAACUACGUGCCAGCCCCCGCGGUAAUACGUAGGGCGCAAGCGUUGUCCGGAAUUAUUGGGCGUAAAGAGCUCGUAGGCGGCUUGUCACGUCUAUUGUGAAAGCUCGGGGCUUAACCCCGAGUCUGCAGUCUAUACGGGCUAGCUAGAGUGUGGUAGGGGAGAUCGGAAUUCCUGGUGUAGCGGAGAAAUGCGCAUAUAUCGGGAGGAACACCGGUGGCGAAGGCGGAUCUCUGGGGCCAUUACUGACUCUGAAGAGCGAAAGCGUGGGAGAGCAAACAAUAUUAUAUCCCCUACGUUGUCCGCGCCGCAGCUACGCAUUAAGUGCCCCGCCUGGGGAGUACGGCCGCAAGGCUAAAACUCAAAGGAAUUGACGGGGGCCCGCACAAGCAGCGGAGCAUGUGGCUUAAUUCGACGCAACGCGAAGAACCUUACCAAGGCUUGACAUACACCGGAAACGUCUGGAGACAGGCGCCCCCUUGUGGUCGGUGUACAGGUGGUGCAUGGCUGUCGUCAGCUCGUGUCGUGAGAUGUUGGGUUAAGUCCCGCAACGAGCGCAACCCUUGUUCUGUGUUGCCAGCAUGCCCUUCGGGGUGAUGGGGACUCACAGGAGACCGCCGGGGUCAACUCGGAGGAAGGUGGGGACGACGUCAAGUCAUCAUGCCCCUUAUGUCUUGGGCUGCACACGUGCUACAAUGGCCGAUACAAUGAGCUGCGAUACCGCAAGGUGGAGCGAAUCUCAAAAAGUCGGUCUCAGUUCGGAUUGGGGUCUGCAACUCGACCCCAUGAAGUUGGAGUUGCUAGUAAUCGCAGAUCAGCAUUGCUGCGGUGAAUACGUUCCCGGGCCUUGUACACACCGCCCGUCACGUCACG
rnacentral:rRNA from 1 species